UACGUAGGGUGCAAGCGUUAAUCGGAAUUACUGGGCGUAAAGCGUGCGCAGGCGGUUCGCUAAGACAGAUGUGAAAUCCCCGGGCUUAACCUGGGAACUGCAUUUGUGACUGGCGGGCUAGAGUAUGGCAGAGGGGGGGUAGAAUUCCACGUGUAGCAGUGAAAUGCGUAGAGAUGUGGAGGAAUACCGAUGGCGAAGGCAGCCCCCUGGGUCAAGAUUGACGCUCAUGCACGAAAGCGUGGG
rnacentral:rRNA from 1 species